GACGUAGGAGGCGAGCGUUGUCCGGAUUCAUUGGGCGUAAAGAGCACGCAGGCGGUUUGGCAAGUCGGAUGUGAAAACCCGAAGCUCAACUUCGGGCCUGCUUCCGAAACUGCCCGACUAGAGGUAGGUAGGGGAGAUCGGAAUUCCUGGUGUAGCGGUGAAAUGCGCAGAUAUCAGGAGGAACACCGGUGGCGAAGGCGGAUCUCUGGGCCUUACCUGACGCUCAGGUGCGAAAGCUAGGGGAGCGAACAGG
rnacentral:rRNA from 1 species